rnacentral:piRNA from 1 species
ACAACGGAGGAGGAACAAAAGGC